UACGUAGGGUGCGAGCGUUGUCCGGAAUUAUUGGGCGUAAAGGGCUCGUAGGCGGUUUGUCGCGUCGGGAGUGAAAACCCAGGGCUUAACCCUGGGCUGGCUUCCGAUACGGGCAGACUAGAGGUAUGCAGGGGAGAACGGAAUUCCUGGUGUAGCGGUGAAAUGCGCAGAUAUCAGGAGGAACACCAAUGGCGAAGGCAGCUCGCUGGGACGGUACUGACGCUGAGACGCGAAAGCGUGGGGAGCAAACAGG
rnacentral:rRNA from 1 species